AACGUAGGAGACAAACGUUAUCCGGAGUUACUGGGCGUAAAGGGCGUGUAGGUGGCUACGUAAGUCUGGCGUGAAAUUUCUCGGCUUAACCGAGGCAGGUCGUCGGAUACUGCGAGACUAGAGGACGGUAGAGGCGUGUGGAAUUCCGGGUGUAGUGGUGAAAUGCGUAGAGAUCCGGAGGAACACCAGUGGCGAAGGCGACACGCUGGGCCGUACCUGACACUGAGGCGCGAUAGCAUGGGGAGCAAACAGG
rnacentral:rRNA from 1 species